CCUACGGGAGGCAGCAGUGGGGAAUAUUGCACAAUGGGGGGAACCCUGAUGCAGCGACGCCGCGUGAGUGAAGAAGUAUUUCGGUAUGUAAAGCUCUAUCAGCAGGGAAGAAAAUGACGGUACCUGACUAAGAAGCCCCGGCUAACUACGUGCCAGCAGCCGCGGUAAGACGUAGGGGGCAAGCGUUAUCCGGAUUUACUGGGUGUAAAGGGAGCGCAGACGGCUGUGCAAGUCUGGAGUGAAAGGCGGGGGCCCAACCCCCGGACUGCUCUGGAAACUGUAAAGCUGGAGUGCAGGAGAGGUAAGCGGAAUUCCUGGUGUAGCGGUGAAAUGCGUAGAUAUUAGGAGGAACACCAGUGGCGAAGGCGGCUUACUGGACUGCAACUGACGUUGAGGCUCGAAAGCGUGGGGAGCAAACAGGAUUAGAUACCCCUGUAGUC
rnacentral:rRNA from 1 species